rnacentral:rRNA from 1 species
AGUCGAGGGGUAACAUAGUUGCUUGCAACUGAUGACGACCGGCGCACGGGUGCGUAACGCGUAUAGUACCUACCUUAUAGUAAGGGAUAGCCCAGAGAAAUUUGGAUUAAUACCUUAUAGUAUCUUAAGUGAGCCUUCACUAAGGAUUAAAGAUUUAUCGCUAUAAGAUGGCUAUGCGUUCUAUUAGCUAGUUGGUAUGGUAACGGCAUACCAAGGCUACGAUAGAUAGGGGUCCUGAGAGGGAGAUCCCCCACACUGGUACUGAGACACGGACCAGACUCCUACGGGAGGCAGCAGUGAGGAAUAUUGGACAAUGGAGGCAACUCUGAUCCAGCCAUGCCGCGUGUAGGAAGACUGCCCUAUGGGUUGUAAACUACUUUUAUAGAGGAAGAAACCAUUUCACGUGUGAAAUGCUGACGGUACUCUACGAAUAAGGAUCGGCUAACUCCGUGCCAGCAGCCGCGGUAAUACGGAGGAUCCAAGCGUUAUCCGGAAUCAUUGGGUUUAAAGGGUCCGUAGGCGGUUUAGUAAGUCAGUGGUGAAAGUUUUCGGCUCAACCGGAAAAUUGCCAUUGAUACUGCAAGACUUGAAUUAUUGUGAAGUGGUUAGAAUGUGUAGUGUAGCGGUGAAAUGCAUAGAUAUUACACAGAAUACCGAUUGCGAAGGCAGAUCACUAACAAUUAAUUGACGCUAAGGGACGAAAGCGUGGGUAGCGAACAGGAUUAGAUACCCUGGUAGUCCACGCCGUAAACGAUGGUUACUAGCUGUUCGGACUUCGGUCUGAGUGGCUAAGCGAAAGUGA